AUCGCCCCGCCGCUGGCCGUGAGGAAACCCGAACAACGGAUGGCGUCGAGCUCGCUCAGCCUUCCGUCAGGAAUGGACCCAUUAGCCUCUAAUCCGCCGCAGAGGCCGCUCGUCCCCCUCGACCCAGGCGGGAGGCCUCCUUCCGUUUACUACGCACCUUACUGCGCCUGCGCGGAAAGCGCCCCCGGCCUCCGCGACGGCAGGAAGGCUCGGCGCGUGCGCAGAGAAGCCGGGAGAGGAAACUGGGCCUUGUGCGCAUGCGCCAGAUGGAGAGCGCCCCGAUUGAAAGUGCGAGGAAGAGGCUGUUUCAGUGGAUAUCGGCGACUCCAAGGAUGUGUGCAGGAGGAGCCCAAAUGGGAAGAAACCCCUUGACCCCCAGAGAGACGCUGACUCGGACCGUCCCUGAGCUUAGACCAUGAAACCUACAAGAGCGACACCUUGGGGGACUCUGGAUACCUCAAGGAGGUCAGAUCAGCGAAGGAAAGUGGGAAAAAGAAUCCCCAGCGGGGGUCAUCUGCUCGGAGCCGCACCCCCGUCAAGGAGACUCCUGGUACCCCAUCAGAGCCCCACGAGACUUACUUGUGUGGCGGCGGCAAGGACAUGCCCCUGGGCGACCAUCAGAGCCCUGCACGACCCCCUCACGCCUCACUCAGUUCCCCUGUCUCCGCCUGCCCAGUGGCCUCGGUUCUGCUUGCGCCCCUCUGCUGGUACUGGUGCUUGGUUGCACUGGUGGCGGUGCUUUUUUGAAAACCCGGUGGCUGCUGGUGCUGGGGUAGUGGCAGGGGAAGUAGUGGUGUUUCCUCGUCCUCAAAUCCACCGCCUCACCCGCAUGCUGAGCAGCCUCCUCUCUGAUUGUGCCGUGCUGGGUUCCAGUGGUGGCGCAGGUGGCGGUGCUUUUUGGAAAACCCGGUGGCUGCUGGUGCUGGGGUAGUGGCAGGGGAAGUAGUGGUGUUUCCUCGUCCUCAAAGUGCCUCUGGGUGCAUGCAGCUGCUGUGUUGGCGAAUCCACUGCCUCAACUGCGUGCAGAGCAGCCUCCUCUCUGCUUGCGCCCUGCUGCUGCUGGUUCUGGGUUCCAGUGGUGGCGCAGGUGGUGGCACUUUUUAAAGGCCUUUUGGACACAGGCGAUGAGGGAACGCAGGCCAAGGCACGAGGGGGUCUUGGGACUCCUUUUCCCGCUUUCCAUUUCUAGCCUGACAAUUCACCUCCAGAUUCUGGGAAACUGCCAUGAUCAUUAAUCAGUCUAUCGAUUAAUUUAAUCUGUAUGCCGUCCUUCCUCUGAAGCUCUCAGGGAGGCUUGCAGCAUAAAAAGACAAAAUAAAAAAACAGCAUACACAUUAAAAACAAAAACGAACUCAUAAGCCAACCUCCCAAUCCACAAGCAUGUUUAAAAGGCCAUGCAUUCUUUAAUUAGCCAAAGGCCUGGUUCUAGAGCAGAAAGGCCACUACCAUUGUGCUACAAGCCCUGCUGGGCACCUCUCAGAAUCUGAACCCACCCCGCACCCUACCUGCUUCGCAUCUCCAGCAGCCUCCAGGCUGUCAGAACAAACAUUGCUGGCUCCCGCCUCCUUUCUGGGCUGGGCAGAGAGUGCUGGUCCUGCUCAUCUGACCUUCAAAGAUGUUUCUUCUUUUUUUUGCACUUCCAUGCCAUGAUAGGCGAGAGAGGGCUGCUGUGGGGUCGCCGGCCCGCAGGAGAGGUACUCCUCCUUGUUCACCUGGAAACGCAUGCAAACAGAUAACUUACAAGAUAAAUACUGAACCAAAAGCAACCACCCCCUAGCUAGGGCCCUGCCUGGACCACAGAGAAACCCUCUCCAUAAAACUAUAGGGAUCUCUAAAUCAGGCCUUCCUCCUCCACCCCCCAGAUCACUGGGAAACACUUCCCCUGCCACACAAGGUCACAACAUACCUCCGGAUUUUCCUGGGUUUCCCUGCACCGCUGGGCUGCUGCUGGUUCCCCAAACCAUGGCCCUGCAAAGGAAGAAGGACAUUGUACUCUCUAGGGGGGCAGAACAAGCACCCCUGCCAGGCUGCCCAUGCCCACGUCACCACAGGCUGCCAACCUGCUCCUGCCUGGGUGCCUGACCCCUGGCUUGGAAGGAGGGGAGCGAGGGGCUGGGGCGAGACGGGACUGCAACCCCCCAACCCAGCCCUGUUUCAUGCAGGUCAGCGCCAUGACCUCCCUGUAAAUGUGGGGAAUGGAUUCCCCAUGGAAUUAACUUACCACAAUCGCCAAUGUUUCUUUCAGUGGCACACCAGCCUCCUUCAUCGUUUGGCGUCUCAGGAGCCUUUUUUGUCCUAGGAGACAGAAAGGAAAAUAAAAAACAGAGGAAGAGGUGGGAAAUGUCCGGGAAUUCCAAAGUCUAAACUCAGAGACCUAGACUCAGGAUCCAGCCUGCACCUCAGCCUUUCCCUGUUCCCUCCAUGUGCCCUAUUAAAGAUUGUAAGCCCCUCGGGGCAGGGACCUUUCGAUGAAGGGUCAUGUGCAGCGAUUGCGCAAAGAAAUAAUUAGGAAGUAAUUUCACCAGGCUCCUCCCCAUGCAAGCUGAAGCCUGCUAGGCGCCUUUCCUGAAUACUCCAAAGCCAAGCCCUGGCUCCAUGGCUCACCUGAAUUAAUGGAAUCCUCUUGCUUCCAAGUUUGGAGAGAGCCCCUUCUUUCGGCAUUGAACGGCCACAUGCUCGGAGCGAUGGUGGCUGUAUCCAGCUCAGCUUCAGCCCCUCCCCUCGUGCCCCCUUCUAGAACCCACCGCUCUCCACCGACUCACCUGCCCCCCCCCCUCAAACUCCCUUUCCCCAUGCAAUUAACUUACCACAAUCUCCAAUGUUUCUUUCAGUGGCACACCAGCCUCCUUCAUGGUUUGCCGUCUCAGCAGCCUUUUAUGUCCUAGGAGACAGAAAGGAAAAUAAAAAAGGAAGAGGUUACAUGGCUCCAUGGCUCACCUGAAUAAAGGGAAUCCUCCUGCUGCCAAGUUGCACAUGCUCAGAGCCAUGGCGGCUGUGCUGCUGCUUUUAAGUCCAGCUCAGCUUCAGCCCCCCCCCUCGGGCCCCCUUCUAGAACCCACCGCUCUCAACCAACUCUCACCUGACCUCCUUCAAACUCCCUUUCCAAGCCUCCUUCCAUCUUCCGUCUCCACCAGAACUCCACUUUCUCUUCCCCCUCCCUCCCUGCUUGACAUUCCCUUUGGAAAUGUAUUAGCAUCACCUCACAAUAAUAAUAUUGCCACUCACUCAUCUCCUCUAGGACUCCUACCUGGAGAAUCCAUCUUUCUCUACCAACUCUCACUGUCAUCUGACAGGCAUCCCCCCUUGCAGGGCAUUAUAAGGCUUGCUUGCAAAACAGCACUUUGUGACAUCAGCUGGCAAACAGGGGCCAGGCUGCUGGGUUGUCCGGCAGCUGAAUGAAGAAAAAUAAAACCAGACUUGCGGAGGCGAGGGAGGGCUGCUGUGGGGUCCCUGGCCCGCAGGAGAGGUACUCCUCCUUGUUCACCUGGAAACGCAUGCAAACAGAUAACUUACAAGAUAAAUACUGAACCAAAAGCAACCACCCCCUAGCUAGGGCCCUGCCUGGACCACAGAGAAACCCUCUCCAUAAAACUAUAGGGAUCUCUAAAUCAGGCCUUCCUCCUCCACCCCCCAGAUCACUGGGAAACACUUCCCCUGCCACACAAGGUCACAACAUACCUCCGGAUUUUCCUGGGUUUCCCUGCACCGCUGGGCUGCUGCUGGUUCCCCAAACCACGGCCCUGCAAAGGAAGAAGGACAUUGUACUCUCUAGGGGGGCAGAACAAGCACCCCUGCCAGGCUGCCCAUGCCCACGUCACCACAGGCUGCCAACCUGCUCCUGCCUGGGUGCCUGACCCCUGGCUUGGAAGGAGGGGAGCGAGGGGCUGGGGCGAGACGGGACUGCAACCCCCCAACCCAGCCCUGUUUCAUGCAGGUCAGCGCCAUGACCUCCCUGUAAAUGUGGGGAAUGGAUUCCCCAUGGAAUUAACUUACCACAAUCGCCAAUGUUUCUUUCAGUGGCACACCAGCCUCCUUCAUCGUUUGGCGUCUCAGGAGCCUUUUUUGUCCUAGGAGACAGAAAGGAAAAUAAAAAACAGAGGAAGAGGUGGGAAAUGUCCGGGAAUUCCAAAGUCUAAACUCAGAGACCUAGACUCAGGAUCCAGCCUGCACCUCAGCCUUUCCCUGUUCCCUCCAUGGGCCCUAUUAAAGAUUGUAAGCCCCUCGGGGCAGGGACCUUUCGAUGAAGGGUCAUGUGCAGCGAUGGCACAAAGAAAUAAUUCGGAAGUAAUUUCACCAGGCUCCUCCCCAUGCAAGCUGAAGCCUGCUAGGCGCCUUUCCUGAAUACUCCAAAGCCAAGCCCUGGUUCCAUGGCUCACCUGAAUUAAUGGAAUCCUCUUGCUUCCAAGUUUGGAGAGAGCCCCUUCUUUCGGCAUUGAACGGCCACAUGCUCAGAGUGAUGGUGGCUGUAUCCAGCUCAGCUUCAGCCCCUCCCCUCGUGCCCCCUUCUAGAACCCACCGCUCUCCACCGACUCACCUGCCCCCCCCCUCAAACUCCCUUUCCCCAUGCAAUUAACUUACCACAAUCUCCAAUGUUUCUUUCAGUGGCACACCAGCCUCCUUCAUGGUUUGCCGUCUCAGCAGCCUUUUAUGUCCUAGGAGACAGAAAGGAAAAUAAAAAAGGAAGAGGUUACAUGGCUCCAUGGCUCACCUGAAUAAAGGGAAUCCUCCUGCUGCCAAGUUGCACAUGCUCAGAGCCAUGGCGGCUGUGCUGCUGCUUUUAAGUCCAGCUCAGCUUCAGCCCCCCCCCCUCGGGCCCCCUUCUAGAACCCACCGCUCUCAACCAACUCUCACCUGACCUCCUUCAAACUCCCUUUCCAAGCCUCCCUCCAUCUUCCAUCUCCACCAGAAUUCCACUCUCUCUGUCCCCCCUCCCUCCCUGCUUGACAUUCCCUUUGGAAUUGUAAUAGCAUCACCUCACAAUAAUACUAUUGCCACUCAUCUCCUCUAGGCCUCCUACCUGGAGAAUCCAUCUUUCUCUACCAACUCUCACUGUCAUCUGACAGGCAUCCCCCCUUGCAGGGCAUUAUAAGGCUUGCUUGCAAAGCAGCACUUUGUGACAUCAGCUGGCAAACGGGCCAGGCUGCUGGGUUGUCCGGCAGCUGAAUGAAGAAAAAUAAAACCAGACUUGCAGAGGCGAGGGAGGGCUGCUGUGGGGUCCCUGGCCCGCAGGAGGGGUACUCCUGUUCAGCAGGAAACGCAUGCAAACAGAUAACUUUCAAGAUAAAUACUGAACCAAAAGCAACCUAAGAGAAUGGUUUUUUUUAAUGACUGGAUAAACCACUCAUUCAAUUGUAUCACCACUUGACUGAAUUUGUGUUUACCUCCUGCCCUUCCAAGCCACUACAAUGGCCCUACGAGCCCUGCUGGGCACCUCUCAGAAUCCGAACUCACCCCGCACCCUUCCUGCUUCCUUCUCCAUCAUCCUUCUUGCUGUUGCAGCACACAUUCAGGGCUCCUGCCUCCUCCUAGACUACAUUCAGAGAUGAAAAAGCAACAGAGCGUAAGAUCCUCAUUUUGCUGCAAAAUAACUGUUUAUGAAUACAGAUUCAAGUCCCAGAAUGUGCCUUCAAAAACAAAUAGCUUUUUCCUUUGGAAAUAAAAACAAAACAAAACUACACAAUAUUUUAAGAAAGGAAGAGGAUUCACUCCAGGCUCACAGGCUCCACUGAGAGGCCCUAUUUCACGGAUACUUUUGUGGAGAUUCCUGCAUUGCAGGGGGGUUGGACUAGUUGACCCUUCCAAUUCUAUGAUUCUGUGUAGUUCCCGCUACAUAUAAAAUGGUUUGGUAUUUUUACAGGGGAAAUCGGAUCAGUUGUAGAAGGGUUAGGCCAGAGACCGAGGGCCCAAACUGCAACCCAAAACCCACUUAUUUCUCGCAAAGUACCAACAUGGCAGUUUAACCUGUAUAUCAGUUUUUCUGUGUGUUUCACGCUUCUUCUGUAUGACUGCUGUUGUGAUAAAUAAUCCUUCAUAAGAGUUAUUGCCUUACAUUCUUCAUUAAAAUUAUCUUGCCAUUGAUAUAUAAUUUUAUGGUAUAAGGCAGUGCUUUUUUUCUAAAAAAAUGUUUAGGGGUACUCUCAUUUUGACACAAGAAAAAAAGCGGAAUACAAAAAUAACAAUACGUUAUAUUAAAAUGAUCACAUGCCAGGGACUGUGCUGAGGAGGGCUGCACUCAGGAGGAAUUGCGGGAACAGAGUAGAGGGUUGGAACAGCGGUUUGCAGAGGGACAUAGUUCAGAAGGCAGAAGUUGGGAAAUACUAGAUGGGGAACAGCUAGGAGAAGAAACACUGGCAGGGAGAGGGUUAACAGAUUCACAGUCUCUAGACAGCAUUCUUCCACUGCCCUCCCCAAAGUCUCAGAUUAGGAGACAUAGAAGCGACCUAGGUUCAUCGGACCAAAGGGGGUGGGCUCUGUAAUUACUAGGAGAUGUGUUAUUUGUUCUCUCACUGUGAUUAUUAAAGUUUCUAAGUGGUAA